CCUACGGGUGGCUGCAGUGGGGAAUAUUGGACAAUGGGGGGAACCCUGAUCCAGCCAUGCCGCGUGUGUGAAGAAGGCCCUCGGGUUGUAAAGCACUUUCAGUGAGGAAGAACGCCUGGUGGUUAAUACCCAUCAGGAAAGACAUCACUCACAGAAGAAGCACCGGCUAACUCCGUGCCAGCAGCCGCGGUAAUACGGAGGGUGCGAGCGUUAAUCGGAAUUACUGGGCGUAAAGCGCGCGUAGGUGGCUUGAUAAGCCGGUUGUGAAAGCCCCGGGCUCAACCUGGGAACGGCAUCCGGAACUGUCAAGCUAGAGUGCAGGCGAGGAAGGUAGAAUUCCCGGUGUAGCGGUGAAAUGCGUAGAGAUCGGGAGGAAUACCAGUGGCGAAGGCGGCCUUCUGGACUGACACUGACACUGAGGUGCGAAAGCGUGGGUAGCAAACAGGAUUAGAUACCCCGGUAGUC
rnacentral:rRNA from 1 species